rnacentral:misc_RNA from 1 species
UGAAGUGCCUCCUGUAGUUUAAAAAGGAGUGGGAGAAAAGGGUUCUUUUGAUCAAAAUCAUGGCCUGAUGGCUUUGCUAACAAAGGAUAUGUGGAAGGUGAGACCGAACAUGGAGAUAGAGGGGCAGAUGUUGAUAAAGAAAAUGGGUUCCUUAAUGGAGUAGUGGAGGCAGUGGAAGAACUGGAAGCUGGUUUAAAAAGUGCAAACUGAUUUGAAUUGUUCCACGGAGAAAAGGAA